GGAUUAAGAGCUUGCUCUUAUGAAGUUAGCGGCGGACGGGUGAGUAACACGUGGGUAACCUGCCCAUAAGACUGGGAUAACUCCGGGAAACCGGGGCUAAUACCGGAUAACAUUUUGAACCGCAUGGUUCGAAAUUGAAAGGCGGCUUCGGCUGUCACUUAUGGAUGGACCCGCGUCGCAUUAGCUAGUUGGUGAGGUAACGGCUCACCAAGGCAACGAUGCGUAGCCGACCUGAGAGGGUGAUCGGCCACACUGGGACUGAGACACGGCCCAGACUCCUACGGGAGGCAGCAGUAGGGAAUCUUCCGCAAUGGACGAAAGUCUGACGGAGCAACGCCGCGUGAGUGAUGAAGGCUUUCGGGUUCGUAAAACUCUGUUGUUAGGGAAGAACAAGUGCUAGUUGAAUAAGCUGGCACCUUGACGGUACCUAACCCAGAAAGCCACGGCUAACUACGUGCCAGCAGCCGCGGUAAUACGUAGGUGGCAAGCGUUAUCCGGAAAUUAUUGGGCGUAAAGCGCGCGCAGGUGGUUUCUUAAGUCUGAUGUGAAAGCCCACGGCUCAACCGUGGAGGGUCAUUGGAAACUGGGAGACUUGAGUGCAGAAGAGGAAAGUGGAAUUCCAUGUGUAGCGGUGAAAUGGCGUAGAGAUAUGGAGGAACACCAGUAGGCGAAAGGCGACUUUUCGGGUCUGUAACUGGACACUGAAGGCGCGAAAACCGUGGGGGAGCAAAACAGGGAUUUAGAUACCCCUGGGU
rnacentral:rRNA from 1 species